UAGAUUGAAGCCAGUUAUAGGGUAUUUAGCUGUUAACUAAAAUUUCGUGGGUUUAAAUCCUACCAAUCUAG
rnacentral:tRNA from 1 species